rnacentral:rRNA from 1 species
UACGGAGGGUGCGAGCGUUGUCCGGAAUCACUGGGCGUAAAGGGCGCGUAGGCGGCCUGAUAAGUAGGGGGUGAAAUCCUGCGGCUUAACCGCAGGGCUGCCUUCUAAACUGUCAGGCUGGAGCACAGUAGAGGCAGGUGGAAUUCCCGGUGUGGCGGUGGAAUGCGUAGAGAUCGGGAAGAACAUCAGUGGCGAAGGCGGCCUGCUGGGCUGUUGCUGACGCUGAGGCGCGACAGCGUGGGGAGCAAACAGG